rnacentral:rRNA from 15 species
CCAAGUUUAGAAUCUGCAAGGGUUAUAACAUGGUGCAUGGCCGUUCUUAGUUGGUGGAGCGAUUUGUCUGGUUAAUUCCGAUAACGAACGAGACCUCAGCCUGCUAACUAGCUACGCGGAGGCAUCCCUCCGCGGCCAGCUUCUUAGAGGGACUAUGGCCGUUUAGGCCACGGAAGUUUGAGGCAAUAACAAGUCUAUGAUGCCCUUAAAUGUUUUGG